GAUGAACGCUGGCGGCGUGCCUAAUACAUGCAAGUCGAGCGAACGGACGAGAAGCUUGCUUCUCUGAUGUUAGCGGCGGACGGGUGAGUAACACGUGGAUAACCUACCUAUAAGACUGGGAUAACUUCGGGAAACCGGAGCUAAUACCGGAUGAUAUUUUGAACCGCAUGGUUCAAAAGUGAAAGACGGUCUUGCUGUCACUUAUAGAUGGAUCCGCGCUGCAUUAGCUAGUUGGUAAGGUAACGGCUUACCAAGGCAACGAUGCAUAGCCGACCUGAGAGAGUGAUAGGCCACACUGGAACUGGGACACGGUCCAGACUCCGACGGGAGGCAGCAGUAGGGAAUCUUCCGCAAUGGGCGAAAGCCUGACGGAGCAACGCCGCGUGGGUGAUGAAGGUCUUCGGAUCGUAAAACUCUGUUAUUAGGGAAGAACAUAUGUGUAAGUAACUGUGCACAUCUUGACGGUACCUAAUCAGAAAGCCACGGCUAACUACGUG
rnacentral:rRNA from 1 species